rnacentral:rRNA from 1 species
UACGUAGGGGGCAAGCGUUAUCCGGAUUUACUGGGUGUAAAGGGCGCGUAGGCGGGAAGCUAAGUUAGAUGUGAAAUCCCAAGGCUCAACUUUGGAACUGCAUCUAAAACUGGUUUUCUAGAGUGUGGGAGAGGAAAGCGGAAUUCUCAGUGUAGCGGUGAAAUGCGUAGAUAUUGAGAGGAACACCGGUGGCGAAGGCGGCUUUCUGGACCAUAACUGACGCUGAGGCGCGAAAGCGUGGGGAGCAAACAGG